rnacentral:tRNA from 1 species
ACUUAAAUAGUUUAAAUAAAAUAUCGAUUUGUGGGGUCGGAGAUAUAAUUUUUAUUUUAGGUU